rnacentral:rRNA from 1 species
CCUACGGGAGGCAGCAGUGGGGGAUAUUGCACAAUGGGGGAAACCCUGAUGCAGCGACGCCGCGUGAGUGAAGAAGGAUUUCGGAAUGUAAAGCUCUAUCAGCAGGGAAGAAAAGGACAGUACCUGACCAAGAAUCACUUGCUAAUUACGUGCCAGCAGCCGCGGGAAUACGUAGGGGGCAAGCGUUAUCCGGAUUUACUGGGCGUAAAGGGAGCGUAGACGGUUAUGUAAGUCUGGAGUGAAAGCCCGGGGCCCAACCCCGGGACUGAUUUUGAAGCUGUGUAACUGGAGUACGGGAGGGGCAGGCGGAAUUCCUGGUGUAGCGGUGAAAUGCGUAGAUAUCUGGAGGAACACCGGCGGCGAAGGCGGCCUGCUGGACUGAAACUGACGUUGAGGCUCGAAAGCGUGGGGAGCAAACAGGAUUAGAUACCCCAGUAGUC